UACGUAGGGGGCAAGCGUUGUCCGGAAUCAUUGGGCGUAAAGCGCGUGUAGGCGGGUCGGUAAGUCCGCUGUGAAAGUCCAGGGCUCAACCCUGGGAUGCCGGUGGAUACUGUCGGGCUCGAGUCCGGAAGAGGAGUGUGGAAUUCCUGGUGUAGCGGUGAAAUGCGCAGAUAUCAGGAGGAACACCAAUGGCGAAGGCAGCACUCUGGGACGUGACUGACGCUGAGACGCGAAAGCGUGGGGAGCAAACAGG
rnacentral:rRNA from 1 species